CCAAUGGACCUUUUACAAUUUCAAGUUGAGUAACAUCUCUGUACUCUUUCCGAAACUCACAAAGUAAUUUUUUUCCUUUCUACACAGACUCAGACUUCCCACUCAGUUUUAUUUCCACUGAACUCUUGAUGUUAUCUUCUUUUCCUACUUCUCUCAGAACCAUUUCUAUUCUAUUAAAAUAGAUCAACUUAGGCAUCAGAGGA
rnacentral:lncRNA from 1 species